rnacentral:rRNA from 1 species
UACGAGCGGUCCAAACGUUAUUCGGAAUCACUGGGCUUACAGAGUUCGUAGGCGGUCCAGAAAGUGGGGUGUGAAAGCCCUCGGCUCAACCGAGGAACUGCGCUCCAAACUACUGGGCUAGAGGAAGAUAGAGGUGAGCAGAACUGAUGGUGGAGCGGUGAAAUGCGUUGAUAUCAUCAGGAAUACCGGAGGCGAAGGCGGCUCACUGGGUCUUUUCUGACGCUGAGGAACGAAAGCUAGGGGAGCAAACGGG